rnacentral:rRNA from 1 species
AAUAGAUACCCAGGUAGUCCACGCCGUAAACGAUGAGUGCUAAGUGUUAGAGGGUUUCCGCCCUUUAGUGCUGCAGCUAACGCAUUAAGCACUCCGCCUGGGGAGUACGGUCGCAAGACUGAAACUCAAAGGAAUUGACGGGGGCCCGCACAAGCGGUGGAGCAUGUGGUUUAAUUCGAAGCAACGCGAAGAACCUUACCAGGUCUUGACAUCCUCUGACAACUCUAGAGAUAGAGCGUUCCCCUUCGGGGGACAGAGUGACAGGUGGUGCAUGGUUGUCGUCAGCUCGUGUCGUGAGAUGUUGGGUUAAGUCCCGCAACGAGCGCAACCCUUGAUCUUAGUUGCCAGCAUUUAGUUGGGCACUCUAAGGUGACUGCCGGUGACAACCGGAGGAAGGUGGGGAUGACGUCAAAUCAUCAUGCCCCUUAUGACCUGGGCUACACACGUGCUACAAUGGAUGGUACAAGGGCUGCAAGCCGCGAGGUCAAGCCAAUCCCAUAAAACCAUUCUCAGUUCGGAUUGU